rnacentral:rRNA from 1 species
UACGGAGGAUGCAAGCGUUAUCCGGAAUGAUUGGGCGUAAAGCGUCCGCAGGUGGCAAUGUAAGUCUGCUGUCAAAGCGUCUGGCUCAACCAGAUAAAGGCAGUGGAAACUACAUAGCUAGAGUAAGGUAGGGGUAGAGGGAAUUCCUGGUGUAGCGGUGAAAUGCGUAGAGAUCAGGAAGAACACCGGUGGCGAAAGCGAUCUGCUCGACCUUAACUGACACUGAGGGACGAAAGCUAGGGGAGCGAAUGGG